rnacentral:rRNA from 1 species
GAUGAACGCUGGCGGCGUGCCUAAUACAUGCAAGUCGAGCGAACGGACGAGAAGCUUGCUUCUCUGAUGUUAGCGGCGGACGGGUGAGUAACACGUGGAUAACCUACCUAUAAUACUGGGAUAACUUCGGGAAACCGGAGCUAAUACCGGAUAAUAUUUUGAACCGCAUUGUUCAAAAGUGAAAUACGGUCUUGCUGUCACUUCUAGAUGGAUCCGCGCUGCAUUAGCUAGUUGGUAAGGUAACGGCUUACCAAGGCAACGAUGCAUAGCCGACCUGAGAGGGUGAUCGCCCACACUGGAACUGAGACACGGCCCAGACUCCUACGGGAGGCAGCAGUAGGGAAUCUUACGCAAUGGGCGAAAGCCUGACGGAGCAACGCCGCGUGAGUGAUGAAGGUCUUCGGAUCGUAAAACUCUGUUAUUAGGGAAGAACAUAUGUGUAAGUAAAUGUGCACAUCUUGACGGUACCUAAUAAGAAAGCCACGGCUAACUACGUG